CCACACCCAUUCUGGAAUGCAUCAUAUCACCAUCACCCAGCAUGUACAGAAUGCCUGAUGUAUAAGCACUGUGUGAGGCUCUGGUCCCUUCCACAUGGCUUGGAAAAGAGGACACACAUCCAACAUCACAAGUCAGCUAUCGGCUCCCGUAGCAAAUGCUACACAUGGUACUGGCAAUGAGCGCAGAGGAGGAAGAGAAAGGACUUUGAAAUUUCUGCUUUAAUAGGUCCUUUGCAAGCAGAGGCUCCCUGAGGUUGGCAGCUGGGUCAUAAGGACUCUGGAUCCCGAGCAUAUCCUGGAACAUGACAGGAAGAAGGGCUACAAGUUCACACACCUACUCUGAAUUUAAAGCUCCAAGGAGAUUAUCUUUCAACUCCCAUGCUCAACCUCUCCGUGCUCAGAUUCAAGAAUGUAACUCAGCAUCUCUUUAAAAGGUGUUUAAAGGAUUGUCACUGAGAUGCUCGACUAGAAAUUUUUUGUUCAAGUAGAUAUGUGAAAUGAUAUUCUCCUGAAAUCUCACAAAGUAUGUAUGUGUGUAUAUAUGUAUGAUACCAAAGGUGUUGAGAAAUCAUGCAAGAAAGAAAUCUAUUGAACUCAUUCUGAUUAGCAUUUCCCAAAAGUGCAUUUAAUGGAAUCCUUUUUUACAUAAUUACCAUAAACAUCCAGAGACCUUUCUUUUAAACACACUUUUAGGAACAAUGGUUUUGAUAAAUUCAUGUCUAACAAAUUAUAAUAGAAAAUAGGUUAACAAUAUUAAUAACUAAUAAUAGAUAUUAUUAUAGAACAGGGCACAAGAAAUUAUCCUUUAAACGAGAUCUCUGAAUCAUUCUUCUGCAGCCUGCACUGAAUUUGCACAUUGCCUGGCGUCAAACUUGGAAAAAAUUAUUUAGGCAACUAAGACAUUUUUAUUUUCAGAUCUCAGAAUAAGUCUGCCAUAGACACAAAGAUUCCAAGAAGUGGCUCAUAAUGUCAUCCGGCAGAAGGGACACUUGGGGAAAAAGGUGGGGAAGGAGUAUUAUGUUUUGUUGCAAAGUUGAUUUGUAUGCAGUAUAUUAUUCCUCAAAUCUACCUUCAAAAAUGGUAGAA